UUUAACUCUUCACUUAGCACUCCUAAGCCCUGGAGUAUACAACCUGUAGCUCUGAAGCAACCAGAAGCUCUCCACCCCCUUCCAAGUGGCUCACCAAGCUUAUAUAAUAAAAGAUGUCUGACUACACACCUGUCUAUCAGCAGGAUACAGGCGGCUUCACUCACACAGCAGCUUCUGUUGUCUCCAGCCGCGGUCCAUCUUCGGGGAGUGUCACGAGAACUAUCAGUGAAAUAUUAUGAAAGAUCCAUGUGAACGAUUUGUUUUGGCUUUGCAGGACAUAGUUCAGGAGGUGCAGCAUGACAGUGUACACUUCCGGAGAUUGCUACUCUGCUUUACUGCCAUCUACCGUUAUGGCAUGACACAUAGGCUUUAUUUAUAUACAUAUACUAUAAAUAAGAUGAAUAAUAAAUAAUAAAGACUGCUUUUGUGGCUACCUGGCUCACACACUGAGCAGUUUUGGAAA